UACGUAGGGUGCAAGCGUUGUCCGGAAUUAUUGGGCGUAAAGGGCUCGUAGGCGGUCUGUCACGUCGGGAGUGAAAACUCAGGGCUUAACCCUGAGCCUGCUUCCGAUACGGGCAGACUAGAGGUAUGCAGGGGAGAACGGAAUUCCUGGUGUAGCGGUGAAAUGCGCAGAUAUCAGGAGGAACACCGGUGGCGAAGGCGGUUCUCUGGGCAUUACCUGACGCUGAGGAGCGAAAGUGUGGGGAGCGAACCGG
rnacentral:rRNA from 1 species